GCCACCUUUUGUGGCAAUCACAGCUCCAAGUCGCUUUGGAUAAGUCUCUAUCAGCUUGCCACAUCUUACCACUGGGGUUUUUGCCCAUUCCUCCUUCUUCAAGUUGGAUGGUUUGCACUUGUGAACAUCAAUCUUUAAGUCUUACCACAGAUUUUCUAUUCGAUUGAGGUCUGGGUUUUGACUAGGCCAUUCCAACACAUUUACAUGUUUCCUCUUAAACCACUCAAGUGUUGCUUUAGCAGUGUGUUUUGGGUCAUUGUCCUGCUGGAAGGUGAACCUCCGUCCUUGCUCAAGAAUAUCCCUAUAUUUAGCACCAUCCAUCUUUCCCUCAACCCUGACCAGUUUCCCAGUCCCAGCUGCUGAAAAACAACCCACAGCAUGAUGCUGCCACCACCAUGUUUCACUGUGGGGAUGGUGUUCUUUGGGUGAUGUGAUGGGUUUGGUUUGCCCAAGACAUAGCAUUUUCUUUGAUGGCUGAAAAGUAAAUUUUAGUCUCAUCAGACCAGAGCACCUUCCUCCAUACAUUUUGGGAGUCUGCCACAUGCCCUUUCGCAAACUCAAAACAUGCCAUUUAGUUUUUUGCUGAAAGUAAUGGCUUUCUUCUGGCCACUCUGCCAUAAAGCCCAACUCUAUGGAACGUACGGCUUAUUGUCGUCCUAUGUACAGAUACUCCAGUCUCUGCUGUGGAACUCUACAGCUCCUCCAGGGUUACCUUAGGUCUCUGUGCUGCCUCUCUGAUUAAUGCCCUCCUUGCCCGGUCCGUGAAUUUUGGUGGGCUGCCGUCUCUUGGCAGGUUUGCUGUUGUGCUAUGUUCUCUCCAUUUGGUUAUGAUAGAUUUGAUGGUGCUCCUGGGGAUCAUCAAAGAUUUGGAUAUUUUUUUUAUAACCUAACCCUGACUUGUACUUCUCAACAACAUUGUCCCUUACUUGUUUGGAG